GGCAGGAGUAUGUGUUGACUGGAGAGAUGCUACCAAUGGAAUGUGUGAUUUUAAAUGUAAAAUGCCACAGAUAUAUCUAGCAUGUGGUCCUCAAGUGGAACCAACCUGUGAUGGAAGAUUUAAUCUAAACAAUAAUGCAAUAAAAGAUAAUGCAUUAAGUAAUUUUAAAUCCAUGCAACGGGAGGGAUGUUACUGCCCAAGUGGUACCACACUUUUGCGACAUAAAUCUAAUGUCUGCGUUCCAAGCUGUGGUUAUAAGGACGUCACAACUUUCGGCUAUGAGAAACUUGGGGCAGCAGCCUGAGGUUCACAGUUCCCCACCGUACACCAUUCAGCACAUCAGAUUUCAGCAAAACACCAGCACGAGAACCAGAAACAUUUCGGUUUUAAAAAAGGGAUGAAAUAGAACGGUUACACGUGAAUCAAGAUGUUACUUUUAAAUGUUAAAUGUAAAAAAAAAAAAUGUUUGUUAAAAAUUUUUACAUAUAGGUUAUAUAUAAAUUACUAAAAUGUAUAAAAAUAUGCUGUAUUUAGAAGUGUAUUCAUACAAUUUAGAGGGCAUAUUGUGUAAACAGUGGUGGUGUAGGUUUUAUUUUAUUUUUUACUAAAUUUAACAAAAUUUAUUAAAUGUAGAAAUAAAAUAUUUGUGACCUGUGAAUUACUCCAAUAUCCAAAUUGCUUGCUCUCAAUCUCUACCAGUCGUCUCUGUAUCAAUAUCUAUAGUGUGAUUGUUUAGUGUGAUUGUUUUUAAAGCUACUCUAUGUAACCCUUUCAAUAAAAAAAAUGAUUGUCCUAUAAUUUUAAAAGGAAGUUUGACA